AGGGUGAAAUUUUCAGGCAAAAGGGAGGUAAUUCCUUUGUUAUACUCAUUAUACUUGAAAUUUCCUGAGUGUUUAUAUGGAAUAUAACUUUUUUAAUUAAAAUAUUCACUUUUGUACACAUUUUCUUUAAAUAUCAGAUGUAUACUUGCUAAAAUUACUAUUAUUUAGAGUUCUGUAAAUAUAAAAAUGUAAGCAGAGCUCUAGCUAUAGAUAAUAGAUUUGGAGGGUGGGAGAAAUUGUGGGUAACUACAAUUGAUUAGGGGAAAUUUCAAAAGACUUAAAAAGUGCAUCUGAUAUUUAUUUUUACAUAAUGUUAUUUCUGAAAGCAAAUGGACAAUAAGAUGAGGACAUAAACCACCUUCCAGGUUAGGAUAGCAGCUCUUAAGGAAGAUGGUCAAUUAAAUCUUCAACCCAGUCUGAGGCCUUACCAUUAAAAAUAUGUGGUUGUUGAAAUUACAAUGUUUUCAUGGUGUGGGGAGUAAGACUUGAAUAUCUGAUAUUGUUAACAUGAUGUUGAAAGUGUCACCUCUGCUGCCUUGUGUGGUACAAUCUUCAGACAAUAUCCUGCAAACCGUGGCUGAACUGUUACUAUCUUUUUUUAGUAGAAUCCUUAGACAGUAAUCUUGUGGCAGAAUGAGUUGUAAACAAAUUGUUUUUAUUCCUGUAUUGAGUUUCAAAUUGGAUAUUUUUUUAUUUAUAUUAUUUGUAUUCCAUUUGCAUUCAAUUAUUGUUUUUUAAUUGAUGAAUCAUUAAAACUUAAAUUUUGCGGGGUCCUAAAGGACUUUCUUAGAGGGGGCCAGCGCAAUUGAUUAAACAAAAUUUUUCCCGCAACAGGGAGAGGAGACAUCCCCAUAAAUAUGCCUUUGAAAUGGGGUGUUAAAGAAGAUUUGUAUUGUUUGUUUGUUUGUCCAUCAUCAGCUCUCAUCCACAGCUUGGUAGAUUUUCAUUGAAACUUUCAGCUGAUUUUCUGUACUAAAGGCAGUAUGUUUUUU